rnacentral:rRNA from 1 species
ACGCUGGCGGCAUGCCUCAUACAUGCAAGUCGAACGAGGUCUUCGGACCUAGUGGCGCACGGGUGAGUAACAUGUGGGAAUCUACCUGAAGGUUCGGAAUAACUAUGGGAAACUGUAGCUAAUACCGGAUGUGUCUGCAAAGAGAAAGAUUUAUCGCCUUCAGAUGAGCCCGCACUAGAUUAGCUAGUUGGUGAGGUAAAUGCUCCACCAAGGCUACGAUCUAUAGCUGAUUUGAGAGGAUGAUCAGCCACACUGGGACUGAGACACGGCCCAGACUCCUACGGGAGGCAGCAGUAGGGAAUAUUGGACAAUGGGGGAAACCCUGAUCCAGCAAUGCCGCGUGAGUGAAGAAGGCCUUCGGGUUGUAAAACUCUUUCAUCAAUGAUGAUAAUGACAUUAAUUGAAGAAGAAGCUCCGGCUAACUUCGUGCCAGCAGCCGCGGUAAUACGAAGGGGGCUAGCGUUGUUCGGAAUCACUGGGCGUAAAGCGUAUGUAGGCGGAUCAAAAAGUUAGAUGUGAAAUCCCUGGGCUCAACCCAGGAACUGCAUUUAAAACUAGUGAUCUAGAAAUUGGUAAAGGUUAGUAGAAUUUCCAGUGUAGAGGUGAAAUUCGUAGAUAUUGGAAAGAAUACCAGAAGCGAAGGCGACUAACUAGGCCAUUUUUGACGCUGAGAUACGAAAGCGUGGGUAGCAAACAGGAUUAGAUACCCUGGUAGUCCACGCAGUAAACGAUGAGUGCUAGUCGCUGGGACAAUAGUCUCAGUGUCGUAGCUAACGCAUUAAGCACUCCGCCU